GGUACAAAGGGUUGGGGAUUAUUUUACUAAUUGUAUUAUUCUGCAUUCAUAGACACAUGCCGUCAGAUGAUAAGACAUUUAGCAAUGAUGCCAGGCGUAUCUGGGCUGUGUACAGUGUGCUUUCAUUUAAAACAAAAACCUCCAUGUAAAUCAUCAUUUAUAAUGAUAUUCCUGUAAACCUCUAAUAAGCAAUUAAAUUGAAUCACCACUUCCUUCCUCAUUUUGAUAAAACCGAAUAUGUGAAUGAAGGUUUAUUUUUCAAGGUGACAAAAAGAUAGAAAAUAAGUUUAACGGAAUUGGCAACAACCAAACACGAGGGAUAUUCAGGUGGUACCCCCCAAUUGAGGACAAUGAUCAGGUCAAACCACAUGUAGGGCUUCUACCUGCUAUAUAUACAAU